rnacentral:lncRNA from 1 species
UGGUGAAAUGUUGGCUCCAGGCUGAGGAUUUUUUGUUUACCCGGUGUUAAUCAUUGCAUGCGUCUGGUUCUUCUGAAGCAUACAUGCAGCUUCGCUAGGGUGCAGCAGGCAUCAAAUGUAAAGUGCAUUUAUAAUUGAGCUUUGCAUGAUGCAGGACUAAUCACUGUGGCACUUGCUAGACUUCACACACAGUUAUUAUUUUUUUCAAAUACAUUUUAAUACAUUCACAAAAGAGGAAGCUAAAAAUUAUGCAAAAGUGCCUAAGUUCCAUCAUCAUGACCACUAGUUGUUUUUUUUUCUCUCAACUUGCACUAUAACUAGUGUCUGAUUUCUCUGCAUAAUAGAAAAGAUAAUGCUGCUUUCGUGUGUAUGAGAAAUAUUGUCAAAGUUGAUUCUAAAAAACUUCACAUACAUUUCAGGAGAAAAAUAACAGGCUUGCAUUCUUCUGCACAUUUUAAGAAAAUGCAUGGGUGUUUCCAUCGUCAUUUCAUGUGUUAGCAGUAAGAGUAUAUUUCAACCUCCACAUUACUACAUUCACCAAGGCAAACCUUCCCUUAAAGAUCCCCUCUCAUCAGGUUUUUGCAUUGCAAACAAAUUGCGGUGCGUAAUCACACGAUGGUGAUUGCGCCUGCAAAGUGUUACACUGAUGUACACUGCGAAUACAACUGAAAAUUCUAACAAAAGCCUGCACACUUCUCAUCUAUAGAGAGCCACUGUGGCUGUGAGCAAGAUUACAUUACGCGCAUGGUGCUUUCACAUCACACGCAUGCUGUCUGCAGCGUACAGAGCCAACAGCAGUGGGAACAAAUCUGGGACUCCUGUGAAGAGCAGAGUAUGCAGAAUUCUCUCGAAAUGCAGCAAGAAGGGAGGUUGACUAAGUCAUUGAUUGCGACAAAAUACAAGGAGGUAUAUGAAUGCUGCCUGUGGGCACUUGCCGAGGCAAGUAGAGAGAGCCUCCGUAUGGGAAGUUAGCUUGCCUCCUCAGGCCACUGCUUUAUAACAUCUCUUUGCUUCUAGCUCGGCUACUAGCAAACCCUUUUUAAAAAUUACUCUGGUAGAGCACUCCCUGGAUGACCCUUUAUAUAACUCUUGGUGUACACCAAAAUUUCCGACAGGGCCUGCCGAGGGGCUCUUUAAGAGUUGACGGAAAUGGGAAAGGAGACAGAUGUCUCGACUAAACUUCCAUGGAGUAGCACAAUAUCUUAAUUCCACAAUUGGCAAACCAUCAGGCGAACCAUCAUUGUAAAAGAUUAGCAGCUCUUUUACAAUAAUGCAUCACCUUGUCCCUCCCCACUAUUUUGUGCAUAAAACUGCAACUCGAUAGCAUUUUUUUAAUUGCUUCCUGUACAUCAUGGUGGAGAUACUGGAGACGCUGGCUAUUGUGAACCAUUCUGUUGAAAAAACUUUGAGAGCAGCUUGAGGCAAAUAGAAAUGCAAUCAUACUAGCUUAUUGGCACAUUAAGAGUUAGUUUUGGAUAAUUCAAGAAUUUUGGCAUUGCACAUUAACUGCGCUUUGGACAAUUUUCUUCAGUACCCUGCACGUAAAAUGCAAUUUUCUAGAAAAGGGGCAACUAGCCACACUAAUUUCAUUAUUUGUUUUCACAUUGCUGCUUGCAACAGUGACACCCAACAUGUGCGAGUAUUACCAAGAAGUAAUAGCUUCACAUUUUUUUCCCGCCCACAUUUUUCACUAUUCCACUCUGGACAAAGAGACAAGCACACACGAUAACCUUUGUUUUUUGUUUCAAUUAAC